rnacentral:misc_RNA from 1 species
AACGCACGAGACCUGCGGACCUGCGGAAGGAUCAUUAAAGAGAAAACUGCCCUUUGGGUAGAUCUCCCACCCUUUGUUUACCUUACCUUUGUUGCUUUGGCAGGCCCGUCUUCUGACCACCGGCUUUAGCUGGUCCGUGCCUGCCAGAGGACCCCAAACUCUUAAUUUUAAGUUGUCCGAGUCUUAUAAAAUAGUAAAAACUUUCAACAACGGAUCUCU